UAGCUCAGAGGUAGAGCAUUUGCCUCACAUGCACAUGGCCCUGGAUUCAAUCCCCAG
rnacentral:tRNA from 1 species